rnacentral:rRNA from 1 species
CAGCAGUGGGAAUCUUAGACAAUGGGCGCAAGCCUGAUCUAGCCAUGCCGCGUGAGUGAUGAAGGCCGUUAGGGUCGUAAAGCUCUUUCGCCAGGGAUGAUAAUGACAGUACCUGGUAAACGAAACCCCGGCUAACUCCGUGCCAGCAGCCGCGGUAAUACGGAGGGGUUAGCGUUGUUCGGAAUUACUGGGCGUAAAGCGCGCGUAGGCGGAUUAGUCAGUUAGAGGUGAAAUCCCCAGGGCUCAACCCCUGGAACUGCCUUUAAUACUGCUAGUCUUGAGUUCGAGAGAGGUGAGUGGAAUUCCGAGUGUAGAGGUGAAAUUCGUAGAUAUUCGGAGGAACACCAGUGGCGAAGGCGGCUCACUGGCUCGAUACUGACGCUGAGGUGCGAAAGUGUGGGGAGCAAACAGGAUUAGAUACCCUGGUAG